UGAUGACGAGUGCUUGCUAACAAAAG
rnacentral:sRNA from 1 species